rnacentral:rRNA from 1 species
AAAUUGAAGAGUUUGAUCAUGGCUCAGAUUGAACGCUGGCGGCAGGCCUAACACAUGCAAGUCGAGCGGUAGCACAGAGAGCUUGCUCUCGGGUGACGAGCGGCGGACGGGUGAGUUAAUGUCUGGGAAACUGCCUGAUGGAGGGGGAUAACUACUGGAAACGGUAGCUAAUACCGCAUAACGUCGCAAGACCAAAGUGGGGGACCUUCGGGCCUCAUGCCAUCAGAUGUGCCCAGAUGGGAUUAGCUAGUAGGUGGGGUAACGGCUCACCUAGGCGACGAUCCCUAGCUGGUCUGAGAGGAUGACCAGCCACACUGGAACUGAGACACGGUCCAGACUCCUACGGGAGGCAGCAGUGGGGAAUAUUGCACAAUGGGCGCAAGCCUGAUGCAGCCAUGCCGCGUGUGUGAAGAAGGCCUUCGGGUUGUAAAGCACUUUCAGCGGGGAGGAAGGCG